rnacentral:snRNA from 1 species
AUCACAUGGAGUAUGACUUCCGAUAAAAUUGGAACGAUACAGAGAAGAUUAGCAUGGCACCUCGCAAGGAUGACGCGCACGAAUCGAGAAUUGUCGAAACUCACC